UGUGCACGCAGGGAACUUUUCAGCCUCCACGGUUUAAAUUUAUUUCUGCGAUCGCAGACACGAGGGCCGGGGGAACACAUUCCAAUAUAAACGAAGGGGGUUAAUUUAAAGAUUUCGAGCAACAGUACUCCCGCAGAAGUUGAGGAUUGACUGCAAUAAUAAUAAGUAGAAGACAUAAAUAAUAAG